UACGUAGGGACCGAGCGUUGUCCGGAUUCAUUGGGCGUAAAGAGCUCGUAGGCGGCUGUUCAAGUCGAACGUGAAAACUCGGAGCUCAACUCCGAGCCUGCGUUCGAUACUGGACGGCUAGAGUCUGGUAGGGGGAUCUGGAAUUCCUGGUGUAGCGGUGAAAUGCGCAGAUAUCAGGAGGAACACCGGUGGCGAAGGCGGGUCUCUGGGCCGUAACUGACGCUGAGGAGCGAAAGCAUGGGGAGCGAACAGG
rnacentral:rRNA from 1 species